UGGGGGAUUCUGGGAGUUGAAGUCCACCCAUCUUCAAGCUUCCAAGGUUGAGAAACACAGGUUUAGGACAACGACGGCUAACCUUUUCCGGAUCAAGUACCCAAAGCGUGCAUGUGAGUGCAUGAAUACGUGCCCAUGUGCCUGGGCCUCCAAAAUGCAUGCAUGGGCCCUACAUGUGCCCUGCCCCCCGUGCAUGCACAUACACCUCCUGCAUGCCCCCCACCCCAUGAAUGCACACGCCCCCCCUCCCUGCACAUGUCCCACCUCCUGCGCAUACACGGCAGAGACCCGGAGACCAGGUGUCCGGCGGGAGGUGCGCCCACAUGCGCAGUGGAGCUGAACUGAGGCGACGGCUCAGGUGCCAUCAGAGAGGUUGCUGCAUGCCACCUCUUGGCACGCGUGCCAUGGGUUUGCCAUCACGGCCUCAGGAGCCCUCGGACAAGUUUCGGUGCAGUCAUGUUUCGUAAACAAAAGCUCGGAUGUCGUAACACUCCAGGGUGGAGUUCUUCCGAAGACAAUCUUGAGUCAUAGGCCAGAAAGUUAGCUGGCGACAUCUGGAGAUGUAGAUUGCGACACUUUGCACGCAACGUUUCUUUCCGGUCGACCAAGCCAGGGAGGUCCAUAAAUGUGCGAGAAACGCCGAGAAGGCACUCAACAACUGCGAUCCGGGAGAGUUGUGGGUUUCGUUCAGGAUUAGGAGAAACCAUGAAGGCUUCUUGGCUCGGUUUGGUGUCGUUGGCCAGCUUCUUGCUUCUCCUGACGGCCCGCUCUGAAGGGGCCCCACCUGUUUCUGCGGCCCCUGAGGUGGUCACAGCCCAUCCUGAACACCUGCCUAUCGAACCGUCCGCAAUUUCCAAAGCCUGGUGGAAGAAAUUUAUCCGGGAAAGUCGGAGCCAGAAGCCGCCGAGGACCCCCAGACCUGGAGUCUACAGCCCCUUAAGCGGCAACGAUCCAAAAUAAUUGAUGCCGGGGAUACUCCCACAAUGCAUUGCCAUCCGGCCCGUGUAUUACUGGGAUGGACUCGAUCUUUUUACGUCACGCCUCUGAUCGGCCUUCGAUUUUUGCAAGUGCAAAAGGAUUUCUAACGUGCAUUGUGCUACUCUCCCACAACCUUAACUUGUGUGUAUAUGUGUGUGUGUGUGUGUGUGUGUUAGGAUGGACCAAUCCAAUUGCUCCUUUCUUCACACUGGCCGGAUAUCAUGAUGAACUUCACCUUCCUUCUCCUUGGCUAUUAUUUCAACAUCUUGAUUCGUCUUUUUCAACAGCAAUAAAUUCUGUUUCUCUCUGGUUUGGUAGUAUACUGGUAGUCCUCUACUUACAACCGUCCGUUUACUGACCACUAAACUACAAUGAAAAAAAGUGACCUACGACACGUCCUCACACUUACGACCAUUGCAGUAACCCACGUACACAGGAUCAAAAUUUGCAUACUUGGCAACUGGUAUAUAUUUUCGAUGGGAUCAAUUUCGCUACUCUUCCCAGUAGUCUUCCGGGAAGCCAAGUCAAUGAGGGAAGCCGGAUUCAGUUAAUGGCCAUGUGAUUCACUUAACAACUGCACUGAUUCCCUUAACAACCAGGGCAAAAAACAUGUAAAAAUUGGGCAUGACUCACUUAAAUCUUGCUCAACAAGAGAAAUUCCCAGUUGUGGUCAUAGGUCGAGGACUACCUGGAUGGGAGUGACCCCAAAGUGGGGUAGAAAAAGGCAUUCUUUUCAGUGCCGAACAGUCACUAAACGAAUGGUUGUAACUUGAGGACCAGAUUUGGAUAUUAUGAGAUCAGGUUUCUCAAAUUUGGCUGCUGUAAGAAAUGUGGACUUCAAACGGAGAUGGUGGUUUCUCAAUGUGAUAUGUAAAUAAAUAAAAUUUAUGAAGGU